rnacentral:rRNA from 1 species
UACGAAGGGUGCAAGCGUUACUCGGAAUUACUGGGCGUAAAGCGUGCGUAGGUGGUUUGUUAAGUCUGUUGUGAAAGCCCCGGGCUCAACCUGGGAAUUGCGAUGGAGACUGCAAGGCUUGAAUCUGGCAGAGGGGGGUAGAAUUCCACGUGUAGCAGUGAAAUGCGUAGAGAUGUGGAGGAACACCGAUGGCGAAGGCAGCCCCCUGGGUCAAGAUUGACGCUCAUGCACGAAAGCGUGGGGAGCAAACAGG